AGGGUGUAAACGCUGCCGACUUGGUGUUGGAGGCCCUUCGGGGGCAUUCAGUGCCGGAGAGAAGUUGUUAAGUCGGCCACUUGGGGAGUACGUCCGCAAGGAUGAAACUUAAAGGAAUUGGCGGGGGAGCACCGCAACGGGAGGAGCGUGCGGUUUAAUUGGAUUCAACACCGUAAAACUCACCAGGGAAGACUGUUACAUGAAAGCCGAGAUGAAGACUCUGCUAGAUUUUCAGAGAGGAGGUGCAUGGCGUCAGUGACU
rnacentral:rRNA from 1 species